UACGAAGGGGGCUAGCGUUGCUCGGAAUCACUGGGCGUAAAGCGCACGUAGGCGGAUCUUUAAGUCAGGGGUGAAAUCCUGGAGCUCAACUCCAGAACUGCCUUUGAUACUGAGGAGCUCGAGUCCGGAAGAGGUGAGUGGAACUGCGAGUGUAGAGGUGAAAUUCGUAGAUAUUCGCAAGAACACCAGUGGCGAAGGCGGCUCACUGGUCCGGUACUGACGCUGAGGUGCGAAAGCGUGGGGAGCAACAGGG
rnacentral:rRNA from 1 species